AACCUUAUGGACCUGCGGGCGUAUACCUGCGGAAGGAUCAUUAAAGAGGUAUAAAUAGGAAAUGAAACUAUUUGUUUCAUUUUUCUAUUAUCCUUCCAUACCUUUGUUUACUACUGAAAAACUACUCAAUUUACUUCGGCAAUGUCAUCUCACAUUGCCGAUAGUGCGAUUGAACCUUAUUAAAUACAACCAAUUCUAUCUCAGUGAUUUGAAAUAUAAAUCAAAGCAAAACUUUCAACA
rnacentral:misc_RNA from 1 species